GGAAUCUUCCGCAAUGGGCGAAAGCCUGACGGAGCGACGCCGCGUGCGGGAUGACGGCCUUCGGGUUGUAAACCGCUUUUCUGUGGAACUACUUCGAAUGUACCACAGGAAUAAGUCACGGCUAAUCACGUGCCAGCAGCCGCGGUAAUACGUGAGUGGCAAACGUUAUCCGGAAUUACUGGGCGUAAAGCGUCCGCAGGGGGUAUGAUAAGUGCAGUGUUAAAUCUACCAGCUCAACUAGUAGGCCGCAUUGCAUACUGUCAUGCUAGAGUUAUGCAGAGGUGAGCGGAAUUCCCAGAGUAGGAGUAAUAUCCGUAGAUACUGGGAGGAACACCAAUAGCGAAGGCAGCUCGCUGAGCAUUAACUGACCCUCAGGGACGAAAGCGUGGGGAGCGAAC
rnacentral:rRNA from 1 species